rnacentral:rRNA from 1 species
AGAGUUUGAUCCUGGCUCAGAACGAACGCUGGCGGCAUGCCUAACACAUGCAAGUCGAACGAGACCUUCGGGUCUAGUGGCGCACGGGUGCGUAACGCGUGGGAAUCUGCCCUCUGGUACGGAAUAACUCAGGGAAACUUGAGCUAAUACCGUAUAAUGACUUCGGUCCAAAGAUUUAUCGCCUGAGGAUGAGCCCGCGUAGGAUUAGCUUGUUGGUGAGGUAAAAGCUCACCAAGGCGACGAUCCUUAGCUGGUCUGAGAGGAUGAUCAGCCACACUGGGACUGAGACACGGCCCAGACUCCUACGGGAGGCAGCAGUGGGGAAUAUUGGACAAUGGGCGAAAACCUGAUCCAGCAAUGCCGCGUGAGUGAUGAAGGCCCUAGGGUUGUAAAGCUCUUUUACCCGGGAUGAUAAUGACA